CCACUGUGGUCGGCGUCCUCUGUCCCCGGGUCAGCACACGGGGCGUCCUCACUGUGGUCAGCGUCCCCAUCCCCCGGGGUCAGCACACCGGGUGUCCUCACUGUGGUCGGCAUCCUCCAUCCCUGGGUCAGCAUACAGGAUGUCCCCAGUGUGGUCGGGGACCUCCGUCCCCCAGGUCGGCACACGGGGUGUCCCCGCUGUGGUCGGCGUCCUCUGUCCCCGGGUCAGCAUACAGGAUGUCCCCGGUGUGGUCGGCGUCCUCCGUCCCCCGGGUCAGCACACGGAAGUGUCCCCACUGUGGUCGGCGUCCUCUGUCCCCAGGUCGGCACUCAGGGUGUCCCCGGCGUGGUCGGCGUCCUCCGUCCCCCGGGUCAGCACACGGAAGUGUCCCCACUGUGGUCGGCGUCCUCUCUCCCCAGGUCGGCACUCAGGGUGUCCCCGGCGUGGUCGGCGUCCUCCGUCCCCCGGGUCAGCACACGGAAGUGUCCUCACUGUGGUCGGCGUCCUCUGUCCCCAGCUCAGCACUCAGGGUGUCCCCAGUAUGGUCGGCGUCCUCCGUCCCCCGCGUCAACACACGGAGGUGUCCUCACUGUGGUCCGCGUCCUCCGUCCCCAGUUUCUUUAGCUGGCAGAGGCAAUUCAGGAUUUUCAAACGUGACCUUUAUUCCUGUUGUCUCAGAGAUAUGGUCAGUGCCCCGAUGCCAAGGUCUGUGUGGUAGCCAGAGCUUCAGGUUCAGCAGAAUCCUUGCCGCACUGCUGGAAGCCAGGAUCCAAGGCAUCCGUGUGACCUGGAAUGAGCUGAGGCGUGGUGAAGAGGUAUUGGGAGGAGGCGAGAGAAGGGUUUUUAUGGUCCAGAAUGAUUCCAUUGCCAGCAUCUUCUGA
rnacentral:lncRNA from 1 species